AUGGAUCAGGAGAUGAUCGUGCACCUUGAGGCCAAAGUGAGUGCUGACAGCCCGAGAUUUCAGUCUCUCAUCGAUUUGUUCAUACCAACCAUCGACAGCGAGCACGGCAUAUGCUACACCCAACCUGAGAAACUACCAGGUAUCACACUGAGUGGCCUAAGGAAGCAUUUCUUCCAGCGCAAUUCCACGGUGUUCAAAAGGGGCACGUGGACGCGUUGCAAGAUACAGUCGGAAUGUGGCAUGCACGUGAUGUGGCACAAGACCGGCAAUACCUUGCCGGUGAUGGUCAACGGCCGGCAGACGGGCAGCAAAAAAGGUUCUGGUGCUGCACACCAACAAGAACUUCGACCAGCAGAGGACCAACGGGGAGAUGCACCAGUACCACCUCGGGGACCUGGAGCAAGAGAAGGAGCGGGAGCUGGUCCUCUGCAAGAUUUUCUACCAGACAAACACUAG
rnacentral:rRNA from 1 species